AUGUCUAUGUGGGUGGUGUGGGCCUCGAAAUUCGGCAGACUCACUGAAGAAGUUAAUAAUCGUUGCAAUGAGAAAAAGUUUAACAUCCUCCUUGAUCAUCCUGUGAUGUUAGAUCUGCGAACAGAAUAUGAAGGAAUCAGCUCUAUGAAUCUGCGAGAAGGGUCAUGAAGACCACCUCCCCUCUGGGUGUCAACUCUUGAAUAGACUUGUCACUCGUCGCCAUUCACCGCGGAAUCCUGGAGAGGGGGAUAAUUACUGGGUAGGAUCCCGAGCAAGGGUAUAGACUUGCCAUCACAUGUGGGAGGAGGUGGUUUUAAAAUUUCCAAGGAAACACCCAGAUCCGUAAAAACAUUUUGCCUAACAACAAAACUGCACAAGAAGAAUUUGGAAGAGCUUAGUUCAUAAAAUUCAUUAUUUUUUUUAUUUGAAUAUAAAUGAGACUGCACACUAAUAUUUCGAGUACCAGUACCUUUAAUUUGAUGCAUAUGUAGCAGGCUAAAGGUCAAAUCCGGCAUUCAGGCAAAUGGCUAGGCAAAUAGAAAAGAAAUGGUAAAAAUCAUUGAAAUUCCUCGAUUGCCUAGGCAUUUGCGCAAAUGCCUAAAGAUUUGACCAAAUGCCGAAGGCUGAUUAGGCAAAUAGUAAACUCCAGCCCGGCUCACAAAGUAGCUGAAACUGCAACGUCGAGCUCAGAGCCUGCUCAGAAAAUAUGUCGUCUUGAAGCACCAAGCUCCAGCCCGGCUCAAAGUAGCUGAAACUGCAAUGUCGAGUUCCGAGCCUACUCAGAACGUGUGUGGUGAUCAACCUCAAUGCCCCUCUUGUCAAAAGCCUGGUAGCUUAAAAAAAUGCAGCUCUUGCGAUAAUUCAUGUCAUCAAGAGUGUGGUAAUGAAGACGGCGACCAACCAUUUGUUUGUAAGUAUUGUCAUGGCGAGGCAGAAAUACGCACAACAAGAGCGGAAGCCCAUCUACGACAAAAAGUUGCAGCUCAAAAAAUGACAGAAAGAAGUUCGAAAUUAUUCACACCUUUAAAAGUGGAAGAUACAAUUAUUUUGAACAUUUCAAAAUUUGAUCGUGGUCCGUUGGACCCAAAAAACAUCGAAGGAAUUGUUCUUGACGUCCGCAAUAAUGUUUACCAAAUUGGAACACCCGCAGGUGUCAUCAAAAAUUGGUGUUCGCGGGAAGAAUUAAAACAAGUAGAGGCAAUAAAAUUUGAAAUAUCUCAGGUUCCGAGGGAUAAGCUAGUGUCGGUCCGCGAAGCAGUUUCUGGCGUUUCGUUAUUUGAAGGGCAAGGCUUUGUCAAGUGUAAUUGCCAAGCCAGUAAAAAUCAAUGUGCGACCAAACGAUGUUCUUGCUUCAAAAAUCAGAGAAGAUGUUCCAGCAAGUGCCACCAACCCAUCGCGUGCUCGAACAAGUAACGCUACUGCCUCAUUAUUUUUAAGCCUCCUAGAUCUGCACACUUUGCUGGAAUGCCAACUUUAUGCAUAAGAAGACUAAUUUUAAUAGUGUAUAUUUGCAGACGUACAUCUAAAGCUUGUGUGUACCGUAUACUGGCCCCAUACAACCUGUGCGGCACGUGUUUUUAGGACACCUGGGAUCAGUUUGACCCAGCCAGGCUUGGGCAUUUAUGGAUUAAAUAGAUUGCGCUUCAGUUUAAAUAAUUCAGAUGAAAUAAGGAAAGUUAGAACCUAUAAAUGCAGAUUUAUGGAUUUGAGCAGCAAGUGAAGUGCCGAGAUUCUUCCCUGAAUGUGUAAACCUCGGUUGGCUCCAGAUUACUUGCUAUUAUUUUAUCAUGCACGGAACAGUUUUUCUCUUUCUGUUUUUCCGUCAUCGUCUCCUCUUUCAUAGUCUUCUCUUUCUUGUUCAAUAAUUAAAUUAAAAUUUAAAAUAAAAUUCUCGUCCAUAAAAAAAGAGUGUUUUUCAGCUUCCUUACUAUGAUCUAUCCUAACUUUAACAAAGG